CCAAUGACAAAUUUACUCAGAUUAAUUUCAUUGUUCACUACGUUUGUGUUCGCGCAGCACUUCUCUCUAGGAAUUGUGCUUGUUGAAACUGCGAUGGGGGUCCGAGACCGUGUCGAAAGCUGAAAAACGAAUAGACCUCUUUUUUUAACGUUCGUGGAUGGAAAAAGAAGUCCGUUAGAUUUUCGACUGCGAAACGGCCCGGAGUCCUACUACUGAUCGUAUAAAACGCCAUAACCUGCUAUAUAUUCGGUUUGUGUUUCCCGUUCUCGUUCUUCACUUUACUAUUCCGAUGACUGCAAAGGGGAAACUGUUCCUAUGUCUCUGUCACUGUACAAAUCUAACGUUAUAAUCACAGGAUAAUCACUUUUAAUUUUCAAAUAACGCGGCUAAUUGGACUAGGGGCGGAAAAGAAUUAAUGGUGGGAGGUGGUAAGGAGUGGGGUGUCCUGCUUUUCCUACCCAGUCAUCUGGUCACCCUGACUUUUCCGUAAAUACAAGAAGCUCGUGCCUCGUGUCGUGUGGCUUGUGAGAGUUAAAAAAUGAAUAAUAUAUACAGCAAUGCAACGACAAUGAUGGAACCAAAUAUGGAAAUAAGAGAUUUUUUUGAUUAGCUGUAACCUCCAAAAUUUUAUUAAAGGAAAGUGAAAGUUCCUUCAAAGGAAACAUAAAAAACUUUAAAGAAUAAAAUACCUGUCAUCAACAUGGGCCGAAGGCGACUUCAAGAGCAUCUUCUCAGAUAGAAAAAUGUCCGCCUGUGGCUGGCUUAUGCGCCGACACGCGGUCCGAUUGACAGGAGCGCCGUGCGGGCACCUGAGUAGCGCAAUGUGCGCGCCAUUGUUGGCUAUAUCGCCCUACCGUCCGGCGCCGCGUGCAAACCCAAUUUGCCGUCCAUGUCUAAGCCCGAAUUGCUGCCAAUAUUUUGAUCUUAAAAAAUGAGUGUGGGAUGGAGGAAAUAAAGGAAGACGUAUAUUUUAUUAUUAAUAAUAUAUUUUAAAAUUAUAAUAAAAUACUAUAAGUAAUAAAUAAUGAAUUAUUUGCUACAAAUCUAUAACGGAUGCUUGUUAUGUUGAAAGGUAUUUUCUAAAGCUGGUGGCGAAAAAUUUUUGUUGUAAAAGUGAAUAAUAAGAAAAUUAGAAUAUUACAACAUGAUUUACAUUUUUCUCGUAAAUUGCUAAACGCAUAUUAACA